rnacentral:rRNA from 1 species
UACGUAGGCAGCGAGCGUUGUUCGGAGUUACUGGGCGUAAAGGGUGUGUAGGCGGUUGUUUAAGUUUGGUGUGAAAUCUCCCGGCUCAACUGGGAGGGUGCGCCGAAUACUGAAUGACUUCGAGUGCGGGAGAGGAGAGUGGAAUUCCUGGUGUAGCGGUGAAAUGCGCAGAUAUCGGGAAGAACACCUAUGGCGAAGACAGCUCUCUGGGACGGUACUGGCGCUGAGACGCGAAAGCGUGGGGAGCGAACAGG